rnacentral:rRNA from 1 species
AUGAUUGCUCUUAUCGGUAAGGCUCCUACCGAGGCUGAGGCUGAUGUAGAGGAGGGAGAAGAGCCGAAGAAGAAGGAAAGGAAAGCAGCCGACGCUGCUUUCACGUGGAUUCAAGCAAACUUUGCGCAUUGCCCUGCGGAUGCCACUGAUGAUGUGAUACAGACACAUGCUCGUGUCUAUAUGUGGUACGUUGUCUCGAGGACUUUGUUUCCUGACUCCACGGGCAAGAACGCUCCAUGGAUGUGGCUGAAGGCGUUGACCGUCUUCGAUAGCAAAUGGAGCUGGGGUUCAGCGAUUCUUGCGUACUUGUACCGACAGGUAGUUGGUUUGUUUUGUUAUCAACUCAUUUGUUCAUUACCAAUGCAACCUUGUUGUCAACUUAACAUUGUUUUUCUUUCAUAUGCAGCUGGACGAUGCGUGUUGCAGGAUCACAGAUAG